UUGCAUUAAAAAUUAAAAAUCCACUUAUAACUACGAUAGAUACAUACAAAAUAUAUAGCGCCUUCUAAUUAAUAAUACAUCAUACUUCCCCAGAGUGCAAACCAUCUGCGUAAUAUAAUUGCAUAACUGUAUAAUAUCUAUCAUUAAACCACUCUGCAGUACUUAAAAAACUGUAAUUUGCUGAGCUGAUCCGUAUUCGAUUUUGGCAAUCUUUUAAUUCUCCGCAUCGUCUUACGAGCAAAAGAAGCUGAUCUCUGAGCUUCUCAUGCGCUGCUAUGUUAAAGUUGCUGCUAAAAUGACGCAACAUAUUUGAGCAGAUUCCAAGUAUUGUAAUUUAACCCCAACAACUUAGGUACAUGACUUGUCGUAGCGAGUCAUCAGUUUGUUUCCUCUUUGUCUCCCCAACUAUUCCAGUCGUCCCAAUAAAGCUUCCUCUAAGAUCAGAACCCAAAAAACCAGAGAAUAACUUAACAUCAGAAGCGUCGGAUUUCCACUUCUCACCAUGAUCUGAAUAUCCAUUUACUACAGCUACGCUAGCAGCCAUCCACACUCGAUUCAAGUUCAUCAUCAUGUAUAUUUGUUGUUUUUUGAUUGAUAU
rnacentral:lncRNA from 1 species